rnacentral:rRNA from 1 species
UACGAAGGGGGCUAGCGUUGUUCGGAAUCACUGGGCGUAAAGCGCACGUAGGCGGAUCUUUAAGUCAGAGGUGAAAUCCCAAGGCUCAACCCCGGAAUUGCCUUUAAGACUGCAUCGCUUGAAUCCGGGAGAGGUGAGUGGAAUUCCGAGUGUAGAGGUGAAAUUCGUAGAUAUUCGGAAGAACACCAGUGGCGAAGGCGGCUCACUGGACCGGUAUUGACGCUGAGGUGCGAAAGCGUGGGGAGCAAACAGG